rnacentral:rRNA from 1 species
ACGAACGCUGGCGGCGUGCCUAAUACAUGCAAGUAGCACGCUGAAGGAGGAGCUUGCUCUUCUGGAUGAGUUGCGAACGGGUGAGUAACGCGUAGGUAACCUGCCUGGUAGCGGGGGAUAACUAUUGGAAACGAUAGCUAAUACCGCAUAACAGUAGAUGUUGCAUGACAUUUGCUUAAAAGGUGCAAUUGCAUCACUACCAGAUGGACCUGCGUUGUAUUAGCUAGUUGGUGGGGUAACGGCUCACCAAGGCGACGAUACAUAGCCGACCUGAGAGGGUGAUCGGCCACACUGGGACUGAGACACGGCCCAGACUCCUACGGGAGGCAGCAGUAGGGAAUCUUCGGCAAUGGACGGAAGUCUGACCGAGCAACGCCGCGUGAGUGAAGAAGGUUUUCGGAUCGUAAAGCUCUGUUGUAAGAGAAGAACGAGUGUGAGAGUGGAAAGUUCACACUGUGACGGUAUCUUACCAGAAAGGGACGGCUAACUACGUG